rnacentral:rRNA from 1 species
GAUCCUGGCUUAGGACGAACGCUGGCGGCGUGCUUAACACAUGCAAGUUGAACGGUAUGACAUGGAAGCUUGCUGAAGUGUCAUAUAGUAGCGGACGGGUGAGUAAUGCAUGAGAAGCUGCCAUUGGAGGGGGACAACAGUUGGAAACGGCUGCUAAUACCCCGUAUGCCGGAGGGUGAAAGGGAGUAAUCCGCCCGAUGAGGUGCUCAUGUCCUAUCAGCUGGUUGGUGGGGUAACGGCCUACCAAGGCGACGACGGGUAGCCGGCCUGAGAGGGUGAACGGCCACACUGGAACUGAGAUACGGUCCAGACUCCUACGGGAGGCAGCAGUGGGGAAUAUUGGGCAAAUGGGGGCAACCCUGACCCAGCGACGCCGCGUGGGGGAAGACGGCCUUCGGGUUGUAAACCUCUUUUGUACGGGAAGAAGGAAGUGACAGUACUGUACGAAUAAGUCCCGGCUAACUACGUGCCAGCCGCCGC